GGCGGCAGACGGGGAGAGAAAGGGGGGGCGAGGUGGAAACCCCCCCUCCGUGCACCAAAUCCCGGGACAACCGAGCAGACGGGGAGGGGCGUCACGUGCCCCCCCCCAAGUCUCAAACCUACAGCUCGUUCCCGAAAGAUCAACAAGUCCGGUGAACCUCCCGUCUCCCCCUCGCAAUUCUGUCCCGGAGUUUUGCGGCCGGGGAAUUGGAAGUUGAACCACGGGAAGAGGAGAAGAAAAGAGCGCCAUCUCGAGUUCGGACGCGGCAUUACGGGCGAGAGCUUUUAACGCUUGUGCUCUCCUUGGAGGGGUUGCGACAAGAGGGAAGCCGGGCAAAAUGCGCCAGGUUUAAUGUGGGCACGGAUCGAGAGUGAAAGGCGGGUCGUGUUUGUUGGUUUGUUGGUUUUUAAAGCGGGGAUUAAACCAUCUUUGGAUUCUCGAUGCCUUGGAAGAAGUGGCGGGAGUAUUCUCGUUCAGAAACAGAGCUCUGGCAUUCAAAACAGUACAGGAUGAAAAAUCACAUUUAUUUUCCACCUUGUCACCUAACAGGCAGGGGCACUGGAAAGACUUCCUCUGUCGGACAUCCUGAGAAUUUAAUUUAAUUUAAUUUAAUUAAUUCAAUUUAUAUGCCGCCCCUCUCCGAAGACUCAGGGCGGCUGAGAACUUGCUAUCAAUUCGAGCAGUUGCUCUGAUGGUUCAGAGUCAGACUCUCUUGAAUUGGGCUUGGCUCUCGAUGGACGUGUAGUCAUUUUUGCAGCAGAGAAAAGCAUUGGCAGAGGAGGCCAUGGAGGCCUGCGGAUGAACAGGCUGCUUAGCAAAAUUGCAGGCGCCUGGCCUCUGCCUUUCUUUUCCUCCGAGUUGAGCCUUUUCCCCAGCGUCAACAUAGCGGAGUUGCCAAUAAAGCUGCAACUUUAAAACAGGUGUGGGAGAAGAUUGGGAAGAGAGCAGAGGAGAUGCGUGUUUUGGAACAAACAGUAGACUACGGUAGCCUAAUGAAAGAAGGCAUUUUUUUUCCCUUCAGAAGUAUUGGAUAGUCUAAAACAGAGGGAAAGAAGCUGUAGUAUCACAGCAAGACAAGACAACAACAUAAAAGGUCGAGGAGUUUUACAUGCUGGCCAUUAACAGAAAAAGAAGAUCUCAGAUAGAAGGGACUCAAGACAGAAUCAGUCUUAAGAACUGUUGAUGCGCACUAGCAGUAGUAUAGAAUAUAUAUAUAUAUAUAUAUAUGUAAUGAAAUAAUAACUAAUAAUAAUUGAGUAGUAAUAGUAUGGAGUGUAGUAUAAGCAUUGACAUAGUAAUAUUAAUUGAACAGUAAAUGGUAUACAGAUAGCAACACAAUAUAGGAAGCACUGGAAUAUCGCUUUCAUACGUUUGUUUUACAAAAUAAGAUCUCUCCCCAAUCCUUAUAGUGAGAUAUAAUGAAACCACCAGUUCAGGGUCCAUUGCUUUUCUCUUAAAUCUGGGUCAAUCUAAUUGGUAACAGUUUAAAAAAGAACCUAUGACAAGGCCAACUCCUCGUUCUAUCCAAAAUCCACUUUAAAGCAUACCAGGCAAAUGGUUGAUCACAUCCAGUGAAGACAAGCUCACCCCUUUUCCUAAUAAUUGAUUGCACUAUCAAACUAUUCUUGCUUUCCAUAAUUUAAAACCAUUAUUCAUGUACUAUGUCUUGGAAUAAGAAACAGCAGCUCUUGAUCAUCUUUUGUGUGACGUUUGUUUAUGUACUUGAAAUGUGCUUCUAUACCCUUCCCUCAUAGUAAUCUUUUCUCAAGGUUAAACUUACCCCAUUCCUUCUGUCCUCCUUACUGUUCAUUCACCUCACUUCUCUAAUCCAUCAAAAGCAUUUUUAUUUAUUUUCUUUUGGUUUUUUUUUUUACUGUAUUAGUUCUAUCACCCAAUUUUGGUCCAUAUGCAAAUUUGAUGGAGUGUUUUUUUAAAACAUCAUUUCUUUGGUUUACUACUGAAAAGUGUGAACCUAACUGUUGUGACUGGUAGACCAUAUUUUAUGACUAGGCUUGUUAACCCAGUUCUGUGGGGUUUUUUAAUAGUAUUUUUAUGGUUGUGAAACAUAGAUUUUGCAUUAUCUUUUUAAUAAAGCUGUUUAUUCAGUAUAAUAUAGAUUAAAUAUUAUUAACAUCAUUAUGUUGAGAUAACAGACAUUGAAAAUUAAAAAAGAAAAAAAUUAUCAGUAUUAUGAUUUAAAACUGCAGUGUUAGUGAGUAUAAAAUUAUUUAGCUUUUUCAUCCAGAAUUGAAUAUAAUGUUUAAAAACCAUUGCAGGUUGUAUCAAAGAAUUUGUUGUAUGAUAAAGUUUUGGUCUUAAGCUCAUUACUUAGUAUUAAAGUCUCCACUUUAAUGUAUAUUAAAGUAAUGUAUUGUUACUUAA